UACGAGGGGGGCAAGCGUUGUUCGGAAUUAUUGGGCGUAAAGCGCGCGCAGGCGGUUUCUUAAGUCUGAUGUGAAAGCCCACGGCUCAACCGUGGAGGGUCAUUGGAAACUGGGGAACUUGAGUGCAGAAGAGGAAAGUGGAAUUCCACGUGUAGCGGUGAAAUGCGUAGAGAUGUGGAGGAACACCAGUGGCGAAGGCGACUUUCUGGUCUGUAACUGACGCUGAGGCGCGAAAGCGUGGGGAGCAAACAGG
rnacentral:rRNA from 1 species